rnacentral:lncRNA from 1 species
CUCUGACACACUGUUUAAAGCUGAAGGGCUGAAGGGCCUGCUCUCUGAACUAUCAAACUUCUCCAGUGUAAUAAAAGAUUGCCGUCGGCUCGCAGGCUGUGGCGUUCCACAGAUCACAUCACUUGAAGUAGAACUGCAGCUGAUAGCUGAAGUGUUUUCAUUCCCUACUAAGGACUCCUUUGAAGCUGUUUCUGUACCACUUUUUUCUAAUGCCUCUCCAACUGAUGACUCCUCUCCAAUGAUUCCAGUUCUAUCACCCCUUGACGACUCUUCUUCGCUGUUUGAAUUCUUCUCUAUGUGAUAAGCAGACUUCUCUUUCACAUCCUCCAGAGGAUUAUCCACUUUGCAGUCCCCUGUGUUUCCAUCUGAAUCAGCAAUACAGCUUUCACUCUUUCCAUUUUCUUCCUGAGGAUUGUUUUUAAAAUCUUCUUUUGCAUUUUCUAAA